rnacentral:rRNA from 1 species
GUGAGGAAUAUUGCGCAAUGGGGGCAACCCUGACGCAGCGACGCCGCGUGGAUGAUGAAGGCCUUUGGGUCGUAAAAUCCUGUCAGAUGGAAAGAAAUGUAUAUGUGCUAAUAUCGCAUAUAUUUGACGGUACCAUCAAAGGAAGCACCGGCUAACUCCGUGCCAGCAGCCGCGGUAAUACGGAGGGUGCAAGCGUUGUUCGGAAUUACUGGGCGUAAAGCGCGCGUAGGCGGUUUGCUAAGUCAGAUGUGAAAGCCCUCGGCUUAACCGGGGACGUGCAUUUGAAACUGGCAGACUUGAGUACUGGAGGGGGUGGUGGAAUUCCCGGUGUAGAGGUGAAAUUCGUAGAUAUCGGGAGGAAUACCGGUGGCGAAGGCGACCACCUGGCCAGAUACUGACGCUGAGGUGCGAAAGCGUGGGGAGCAAACAGGAUUAGAUACCCCAGUAGUCC